GCCAGAGCUGCUGUGUCUUUCUGGUCCCUUGUUUGAGCAAGCUCCUAUAUAGUAGGAAAGACAUUUACCUGCCCCUUCCACGAGCCCAUUCCCUGCCCCUUUACCUGCCUUCCAUUUCCUUUCCAGGAAGCAGCUCCGCUUGGCAAGAGGUGGUGAGGCCAGGCCUUGCUGCUGACGGACUGGCCGCCUGCUGGGGAGCUGUUCUCCAAGGCUGAUGGACUGUCUACAGCAGCUCAUGGAAAGGAAAAACCAGACUAAAACCUGUGUCCGUGGCAGGGAUGGUGUGUCCAGGCAGUUUUCAUGUUAUUUUUGCCCUUUUUUUUCCUUUGGUGAUGACAAGGAAAAGCCAUGUGCAUGAGGUACGCACAGCACAGCUGCUUCUGCAAGCGUGGUGCUGAUGCACCGUAAGCUGUGGAUCACAAAAUGCUGGCAGGACUUCAGGGGGCUGGCCAGCUGCCAUCACCUAUCUCCUGGAUGCUCUUCCACAUUUUCCCAUGGAGAGACGGACCUUUCUCGUGUGAUAAGGCCUUCGAGAAAGUGAGAGCUGUGGUUGGGCACCAGUCAAGCAGGAGACACCACUCUGUAAAAAAAAAAAAAGCAUUUU